AGAUUAGAUACCCUGGUAGUCCACGCCGUAAACGAUGGAUGCUAGUUGUCAGGCAGCAUGCUGUUUGGUGACGCAGCUAACGCAUUAAGCAUCCCGCCUGGGGAGUACGGCCGCAAGGUUAAAACUCAAAGAAAUUGACGGGGGCCCGCACAAGCGGUGGAGCAUGUGGUUUAAUUCGAAGCAACGCGCAGAACCUUACCUACCCUUGACAUACCAAUCGCGGAUUACAGAGAUGUUUUCCUU
rnacentral:rRNA from 1 species